UCGCAUUUACGACGACUUAAAAAUAAUAUAUUACAAAUAAUUACAUGGGUUCUUAGCUUAGGGGAACAGGCGACCGAAGUCACGGUAAGAACAGGCGACCGAAGUCACGGUAAGAACAGGCGACCGAAGUCACGGUAAGAACAGGCGACCGAAGUCACGGUAAGAACAGGCGACCGAAGUCACGGUAAGAACAGGCGACCGAAGUCACGGUAAGAACAGGCGACCGAAGUCACGGUAAGAACAGGCGACCGAAGUCACAGUUAUUUAUUAAUUAGAUAAUACUCAAC